rnacentral:rRNA from 1 species
UACGGAGGGUGCAAGCGUUAUCCGGAUUCACUGGGUUUAAAGGGUGCGUAGGAGGGCAGGUAAGUCAGUGGUGAAAUCUCCGAGCUUAACUUGGAAACUGCCGUUGAUACUAUCUGUCUUGAAUAUUGUGGAGGUGAGCGGAAUAUGUCAUGUAGCGGUGAAAUGCUUAGAUAUGACACAGAACACCGAUUGCGAAGGCAGCUAGCUAGACCGACAUUGACGCUGAGGCACGAAAGCGUGGGGAUCAAACAGG